UGUAAACAUCCUUGACUGGAAGCUGUAAGUUGUUCAGAGGAGCUUUCAGUCGGAUGUUUACA
rfam:Ailuropoda melanoleuca scaffold896_22, whole genome shotgun sequence.